AUUGAACGCUGGCGGCAGGCCUAACACAUGCAAGUCGAGCGGCAGCGGGAAAGUAGCUUGCUACUUUUGCCGGCGAGCGGCGGACGGGUGAGUAAUGCCUGGGAAAUUGCCCAGUCGAGGGGGAUAACAGUUGGAAACGACUGCUAAUACCGCAUACGCCCUACGGGGGAAAGCAGGGGACCUUCGGGCCUUGCGCGAUUGGAUAUGCCCAGGUGGGAUUAGCUAGUUGGUGAGGUAAUGGCUCACCAAGGCGACGAUCCCUAGCUGGUCUGAGAGGAUGAUCAGCCACACCGGAACUGAGACACGGUCCAGACUCCUACGGGAGGCAGCAGUGGGGAAUAUUGCACAAUGGGGGAAACCCUGAUGCAGCCAUGCCGCGUGUGUGAAGAAGGCCUUCGGGUUGUAAAGCACUUUCAGCGAGGAGGAAAGGUUGUUGGCUAAUAUCCAACAGCUGUGACGUUACUCGCAGAAGAAGCACCGGCUAACUCCGUGCCAGCAGCCGCCGUAACAC
rnacentral:rRNA from 1 species